GACCUUGCGCUAUACGAGCGGCCGAUGUCAGAUUAGCUAGUUGGUAGGGUAAAGGCCUACCAAGGCGACGAUCUGUAGCGGGUCUGACGAGGAUGAUCCGCCACACUGGGACUGAGACACGGCCCAGACUCCUACGGGAGGCAGCAGUGGGGAAUUUUUGGACAAUGGGCGAAAGCCUGAUCCAGCCCAUGCCGCGUGAGUGAAGAAGGCCUUCGGGUUGUAAAACNCUUUCGGCUGGGAAGAAAUCGCACAGGCUAAUACUCUGUGUGGAUGACGGUACCAGCACAAGAAGCACCGGCUAACUACGUG
rnacentral:rRNA from 1 species